UAUAUAUAUAUAUAUAUAUAACUGCAUGUUAUUUAUAUUUUCUGGACAUCACUUCCUUUUUGGGUCCCUAUGGUCUCAGAGCUGUAGCUUUUCUGGACAUAAAUAUUUUGCCUCGUGUAAUUUGUCUGCUUGAAUUAACAAUGAAUUUACGAUUAAUACUUACGCCAUUUCAUGUACUUCAGAUUAAGCAUGCGUUCUUCUCUGUUGAUUCCUGUUGGUUUCAACUUUUUGCUUAGUGAUUUUUUGUGCUAUAACUUUCCAUCUGUGAAUUAACUUUGAAAUAUUGAAUCUCCUUAUCAGGUGUUGGCUCAACGAUUGGAGCUGGAGUUUAUAUUCUUGUUGGAACAGUUGCUAGAGAGCACUCUGGUCCAGCUCUUUCGAUUUCCUUUCUGAUAGCUGGAAUCGCUGCUGCUCUUUCUGCUUUUUGCUAUGCAGAGCUUGCAAGCCGUUGUCCAUCUGCAGGCAGUGCCUAUCACUAUUCUUAUAUAUGUGUUGGAGAGGGUGUUGCAUGGUUGAUUGGCUGGGCUCUAAUAUUGGAAUACACAAUUGGUGGAUCAGCAGUUGCUCGUGGCAUAUCCCCCAAUCUGGUUCAGUGAAUUUCUUUACUCUGAACUUCUUCUCCUUUUCUUUUUCAGAAUUUUCUUUUAGGUUUAGUUAUUUUUUCUUUUUGUUUAAAGCAUAAGUUCUGUUGGAUCUCUUGUAGCGGAACAGGCUUUUUUUUCCCCCUAUUUCUAUGCGCUGUCUUUUUCUUGGCCAAUGACUAAUCACAUUGAUGCAGUCCAAGAAGACUAAAUUUAUGAAUUAUUUUGAUUUAAGUUUUCAGUAAAAUUAGGAAUUUUAUGUUUCUAUUAAUUAGGAAAUUUUUAUUAUUUACAAUUUUAUUAUUAUUUAAGAAGUAGUAAUUUAUUUUACUUGGGAAGUUGACUUGGUUUUGGAUUUCCUAAUUGGAGUUUUCUUUGUCUUUUCUUAAUCUAAAUCCUAAUAAUAAUAGGAUAAAUAAUUCUACUAU
rnacentral:misc_RNA from 1 species